UACGUAGGUGGCAAGCGUUGUCCGGAAUUAUUGGGCGUAAAGCUCGCGCAGGCGGUCUCUUAAGUCUGAUGUGAAAGCCCCCGGCUCAACCGGGGAGGGUCAUUGGAAACUGGGAGACUUGAGUGCAGAAGAGAAGAGUGGAAUUCCACGUGUAGCGGUGAAAUGCGUAGAGAUGUGGAGGAACACCAGUGGCGAAGGCGGCUCUCUGGGACGGUACUGACGCUGAGACGCGAAAGCGUGGGGAGCGAACAGG
rnacentral:rRNA from 1 species